rnacentral:lncRNA from 1 species
CCGUAGAUGCUACCUGCUCUAAGCCAUUUUGUAGGUAUCUCAGUUAUUAGAUCGACUGUCAUGAUAUCUCAGUGCUUGUGUUCAAGGAACCCUUAUUUUACUUAAUAAUGGACCCAGAGUGUAAGAGUAGUCAUGCUGACAAUUUGGAUAUGCCAAAAAAGCCAUAAAGUAAGUAGCCUGUAUCAGCUCUAUUUACAUUUUGCCAAUUUCUUGU